rnacentral:rRNA from 1 species
AAAUUGAAGAGUUUGAUCAUGGCUCAGAUUGAACGCUGGCGGCAGGCCUAACACAUGCAAGUCGAACGGUAACAGAAAGCAGCUUGCUGCUUUGCUGACGAGUGGCGGACGGGUGAGUAAUGUCUGGGAAACUGCCCGAUGGAGGGGGAUAACUACUGGAAACGGUAGCUAAUACCGCAUAACGUCGCAAGACCAAAGAGGGGGACCUUAGGGCCUCUUGCCAUCGGAUGUGCCCAGAUGGGAUUAGCUAGUAGGUGGGGUAAAGGCUCACCUAGGCGACGAUCCCUAGCUGGUCUGAGAGGAUGACCAGCCACACUGGAACUGAGACACGGUCCAGACUCCUACGGGAGGCAGCAGUGGGGAAUAUUGCACAAUGGGCGCAAGCCUGAUGCAGCCAUGCCGCGUGUAUGAAGAAGGCCUUCGGGUUGUAAAGUACUUUCAGCGGGGAGGAAGGGAGUAAAGUUAAUACCUUUGCUCAUUGACGUUACCCGCAGAAGAAGCACCGGCUAACUCCGUGCCAGCAGCCGCGGUAAUACGGAGGGUGCAAGCGUUAAUCGGAAUUACUGGGCGUAAAGCGCACGCAGGCGGUUUGUUAAGUCAGAUGUGAAAUCCCCGGGCUCAACCUGGGAACUGCAUCUGAUACUGGCAAGCUUGAGUCUCGUAGAGGGGGGUAGAAUUCCAGGUGUAGCGGUGAAAUGCGUAGAGAUCUGGAGGAAUACCGGUGGCGAAGGCGGCCCCUGGACGAAGACUGACGCUCAGGUGCGAAAGCGUGGGGAGCAAACAGGAUUAGAUACCCUGGUAGUCCACGCCGUAAACGAUGUCGACUUGGAGGUUGUGCCCUUGAGGCGUGGCUUCCGGAGCUAACGCGUUAAGUCGACCGCCUGGGGAGUACGGCCGCAAGGUUAAAACUCAAAUGAAUUGACGGGGGCCCGCACAAGCGGUGGAGCAUGUGGUUUAAUUCGAUGCAACGCGAAGAACCUUACCUGGUCUUGACAUCCACGGAAGUUUUCAGAGAUGAGAAUGUGCCUUCGGGAACCGUGAGACAGGUGCUGCAUGGCUGUCGUCAGCUCGUGUUGUGAAAUGUUGGGUUAAGUCCCGCAACGAGCGCAACCCUUAUCCUUUGUUGCCAGCGGUCCGGCCGGGAACUCAAAGGAGACUGCCAGUGAUAAACUGGAGGAAGGUGGGGAUGACGUCAAGUCAUCAUGGCCCUUACGACCAGGGCUACACACGUGCUACAAUGGCGCAUACAAAGAGAAGCGACCUCGCGAGAGCAAGCGGACCUCAUAAAGUGCGUCGUAGUCCGGAUUGGAGUCUGCAACUCGACUCCAUGAAGUCGGAAUCGCUAGUAAUCGUGGAUCAGAAUGCCACGGUGAAUACGUUCCCGGGCCUUGUACACACCGCCCGUCACACCAUGGGAGUGGGUUGCAAAAGAAGUAGGUAGCUUAACCUUCGGGAGGGCGCUUACCACUUUGUGAUUCAUGACUGGGGUGAAGUCGUAACAAGGUAACCGUAGGGGAACCUGCGGUUGGAUCACCUCCUUA